UUUUUUUUUCAUGUUCUUUUCUUAACAACAUCAACGUGUAAUUAUGACACGAUAUGCAGACAUCAAUUCUCGGUUCCACGAUAUAGAAGGUGGACAGGGGAUAAAGAAGGGAUAACGGAGAUCUUAGAAAUCAGGACUUGGACGCGGCUGUGAGCGAGCCAUCACCCAGAGAUGGGCAUCAGUUGAAGAAGCGGUGCAAUCCUUUGCUGCACACAAUUCAUUUUAGUUCGACAACGGCGAUUGGAUGUUGGGAUGAGUCGGGACGCAAGUGCACGUCAAUCGGAAGCUGUACGUCUUGGGACUAGCUGACGGUGGCUCAUCUUCCACAACCUCCGGAUCCCAAAUAUCAAUCAUUCCGACGACAUCCGGGACGGGCGAUGUGACUCGAAUGGUUGGCGUUGGCGGUGGCGUUCCGGUGCUCGUCGAUCGGCUGCCGUACGUAACUCGCUGAUGACCCCCGGAUGAUGAAGAUGACAUCGAUUGGCUCUUACCAUGACGGAAGGAAUAGGAGUGUGACAUGCUUGGGAAUGUGUCAAAGCUUUAUCUAAACGAAAGAAAAACAUCAUCAACAGGCUGCAGAUUUUAACAAAAAAGCAAUUCGAACGUUUACCUAUUCCCUGUCGGUAGCGAGCAGCGUGACAUGGGAACGAAGUGUUAAACCACCCGGUCACCCUUUCUAGGUUCGUAACACUGUGAAUUGAAGAUGGCAAAGUUUCGGAAGACGAGCGGAUAAAGUGGGAGGUAGUGGCUGCUGCUCUUGCAGUUAUCUGGGCGGGCGCAACAGCGUUAACGUCGUGCGCAGCCGUUAACCAUCCUUUUUUGUCAUCAUGAGUUGCUCAUAGGGAGACCUGUUGCUAGACGUACACACAGAUUCAUUGGACGUUAAAUCUUAUCUCCUUUCCAAUAAAGGAAUAACAUGCGUGUCUGCAGUUGGCCCAGCACUCAGCUAAACAAAACAUUGCGCUGUGGAAAAUGUCGAUCCGACUAAUGGAACAACAUGGGAGUUCGGUCACGUAAAUUGGUCAACAACAAGAACCCUUUGACCAGCAUUGGUCAAACAACUUGGUCGGCCUGGUCCGUGCUAUUUCUCUUAAUCUUAACUGGGAAAAAAGACUGCAUUCAUCUUAAAGAAAACGGUGCGGCCCAACCCGUUCCCAUUCGUCUAACACACGCCGCGUUUUAAUCCGCUUGCUGCAAUCACUGGAAGACCACCAAUUUUACAGUUGUAUAAAGAUAUUGCCCGUAUCAACGAAAACAGGGCGAUAAGCUAUAAACGAAGUGGGAAUGCACUUUCAUUUGCCAACGUUUAUAAACAUCCGAAAAGCAGAACUUAUCAUUUCAAUGGCUAACUUAUCUUGAUUGCGUUCGUUGUUCCGGUCGACUGCGCUUCGGGUUACCAUUGGCUCCCCCCUUUGUGUAGCAUAUCCAUCACCUUCUGUCCCAAGUUCUUUUCUCGUCCGCGUGUGGCCAGCAACAGUCGUGGAGAAGUGAUCAACAACACAAAGCCAAGAAGGUCAUUCGACCGUGAUAUUCUAUAGCGUGCAGUAAGUCGCCAUGAUAGAAAAAUCGAUAAUUAGCUUUUUUUUCAGAGUAAAUUUGACGCUGUGCAGAGUCCUCAACAACGAAUCAAGAGAAGAGGAGUGAAACCGGUAAAGAAAAGAGGGGACGAUCCUCGCCGUUGCACGGUUACGCCCAAAAAAUCAAUACACCUAGCGCGCCCGUUGUGCAUUCUUGCCCAGGUGUGUUCCAUAUAGGCUACCCCUUUAUGCAAGCCCGCUGUUUUAUUCCCUAUCGUCUCGAUGUCAAAAAACUGGGAAAGAGACAAAAAUAGAAGCGAGAUCAAGAAUAUAAAGGCAAAAUGAGAUGGCGGCCAGCCCGGCUUUUGACGUUCUUACUAACACAAAAGAAAUCUAAUCCUCGCCAGUGGGGGGGUUCGUUGGAGUAUAACGAAGACCCUUCCCCUUCGGUCGCACUCUCUGAAAUGAAGCGAACCUAGUGAGGUGAUAACAAAGGAUAAGGUCAAUGAUUGGCUUUGAUAAACGAAGUUUAGUCUGAACAGUUUAUUAUGUAGAAGCUCAGAGACUGCAAACUGUCACCUGCUCGGAUCGGCUCCAUAGCCAAUUUUCAACGCACAUCGAUUUGCAUGAUAAUGGUUGUUGAU